ACAUUCUUAGUUUAAAUAGAAUAGCAGUUUGUCGUACUGCAGGUGUAGUUUAACUUCAGAGUGGG
rnacentral:tRNA from 1 species